rnacentral:rRNA from 1 species
UCGGGAGGGCGUUUACCACGGUGUGGUUCAUGACUGGGGUGAAGUCGUAACAAGGUAGCCCUAGGGGAACCUGGGGCUGGAUCACCUCCUUACUGA